rnacentral:rRNA from 1 species
UUCCUCCUACGGGAGGCAGCAGUGAGGAAUAUUGGUCAAUGGGCGGGAGCCUGAACCAGCCAAGCCGCGUGAGGGAAGAAGGUUUUCGGAUUGUAAACCUCUGUGGAGGGGGACGAUAAUGACGGUACCCCUUUAGGAAGCCACGGCUAACUACGUGCCAGCAGCCGCGGUAAUACGUAGGUGGCGAGCGUUGUCCGGAAUUACUGGGUGUAAAGGGAGUGUAGGCGGGAAAGCAAGUCAGAAGUGAAGACUAUGGGCUUAACCCAUAGCCUGCUUUUGAAACUGUUUUUCUUUAGUGAAGUAGA